UGUGGGAGCGAGCCUGCUCGCGAUGACGGUGUGUCAGUCAACAUCGAUGUUGAAUGUUCGUACGCUAUCGCGAGCAGGCUCGCUCCCACA
rnacentral:antisense_RNA from 1 species